GAUGAACGCUGGCGGCGUGCCUAACACAUGCAAGUCGAGCGAACAGACGUGGAGCUUGUUCCUCUGACGUUAGUGGCGGACGGGCGAGUAACAUGUGGAUAACCUACCUAUCUGACUGGGAUAACUUCUGGAAACCGGUCAUAAUACCGGAUAAUUUAUUCAACCGUAUGGUUCAAUAGCGUAUGAUGGUUUUGCUUUCACUUAUAGAUGGUCCCGCGCCGCAUUAGCUAGUUGGUAAGGUAACGGCUUACCAAGGCGACGAUGCGUAGCCGACCUGAGAGGGUGAUCGGCCACACUGGGACUGAGGCACGGGCCAGACUCCGACGGGAGGCAGGAGUAGGGAAUCUUCGGCAAUGGGCGGAAGGCUGACGGAGCAACGCCGCGUAAGUGAUGAGGGUAUUCGGGUCGUAAAGCACUGUUAUUAGGGGAGAACAAAUGUGUAAGUAGCUGUGCAAGUAUUGACGGUACCUAAUCAGGAAGCAACGGCUAACUACGUG
rnacentral:rRNA from 1 species